rnacentral:lncRNA from 1 species
UGAAUUUAAAUAGGCUAAAAGGAACCCAAGAUCCUAAAAAUACAAAUGGAAACAUUGGAACAACCCUCCAAGUAGGUUUGUCAAAAGAUGUUUCAAAAGUCUUCACCAACCCACCAUAAUUAAUGGUAUCUUUGACAAACUUAAUGCUAGCCUACUAUAAUUAAUGCUAUCAUUGACAAACUUAAUGUUAGCCCACCAUCAUUGACGGUAGACUUACCUUACACAUUGACAAGUUUGAAACAAAACAAACAAAUAAGUUGAAAAACAAAAGAUUCGUUGAAAAUCCCAAGUCUGAACACGCUGUAAAGAAUUGGUCAUAACUCCUUCUAGAGAACUCCAAAUCCAUCUCUGUAAAAUUUAUUGGAAAGCUAACUUAAUUAUCUUUCCAACGGUAUAUAGCUUGCAUUUUAAUUCUGGCUCAAUCAAUACAGUUUUUAUUCCGAAUUUGACCUUUCUGCAUUUGAUACAACUUGUGUAUUUGGCUGCCCAAUGACUUGAAUAAUGCCCACAAUGCCUUGUCUUCUCUUCACGCCCAAUUCAUGAUGUCUUCCAUCUUGAAUUGCAUUCUCAAUCCAUAUUUUCUCAAUUAAUC